GGCGGACGGGUGAGUAAUGCUUAGGAAUCUGCCUAUUAGUGGGGGACAACAUUCCGAAAGGGAUGCUAAUACCGCAUACGCCCUACGGGGGAAAGCGGGGGAUCUUCGGACCUUGCGCUAAUAGAUGAGCCUAAGUCGGAUUAGCUAGUUGGUGGGGUAAAGGCCUACCAAGGCGACGAUCUGUAGCGGGUCUGAGAGGAUGAUCCGCCACACUGGGACUGAGACACGGCCCAGACUCCUACGGGAGGCAGCAGUGGGGAAUAUUGGACAAUGGGCGGAAGCCUGAUCCAGCCAUGCCGCGUGUGUGAAGAAGGCCUUUUGGUUGUAAAGCACUUUAAGCGAGGAGGAGGCUCUUAAGGUUAAUACCCUUGAUGAGUGGACGUUACUCGCAGAAUAAGCACCGGCUAACUCUGUGCCAGCAGCCGCGGUAAUACAGAGGGUGCGAGCGUUAAUCGGAUUUACUGGGCGUAAAGCGUGCGUAGGCGGCUGAUUAAGUCGGAUGUGAAAUCCCUGAGCUUAACUUAGGAAUUGCAUUCGAUACUGGUCAGCUAGAGUAUGGGAGAGGAUGGUAGAAUUCCAGGUGUAGCGGUGAAAUGCGUAGAGAUCUGGAGGAAUACCGAUGGCGAAGGCAGCCAUCUGGCCUAAUACUGACGCUGAGGUACGAAAGCAUGGGGAGCAAACAGGAUUAGAUACCCUGGUAGUCCAUGCCGUAAACGAUGUCUACUAGCCGUUGGGGCCUUUGAGGCUUUAGUGGCGCAGCUAACGCGAUAAGUAGACCGCCUGGGGAGUACGGUCGCAAGACUAAAACUCAAAUGAAUUGA
rnacentral:rRNA from 1 species